GGUUAGGGUUAGGGUUAGGGUUGGAGCUAGGGUUAGGGUUAGGGUUAGGGUUGGAGUUAGGGUUAGUGUUGGAGCUAGGGUUAGGGUUGGGCUUGGAGCUAGGAUUUUUCUGAGUGCACUGAACCAACUCCCGAGUCUCUAGGACAUUCCUAAAAAAAUUUGAUUUUUUCCCAUAGGAAUGCAUGGGUUAGGGUUAGGGUUAGGGUUGGAGCUAGGGUUAGGGUUAGGGUUAGGGUUGGAGUUAGGGUUAGUGUUGGAGCUAGGGUUAGGGUUGGGCUUGGAGCUAGGAUUUUUCUGAGUGCACUGAACCAACUCCUGAGUCUCUAGGACAUUCCUAAAAAAAAUUGAUUUUUUUCCCAUAGGAAUGCAUGGGUUAGGGUUAUGGUUAGGGUUAGGGUUGGAGCUAGGGUUAGGGUUAGGGUUAGGGUUGGAGUUAGGGUUAGUGUUGGAUCUAGGGUUAGGGUUGGGCUUGGAGCUAGGAUUUUUCUGAGUGCACUGAACCAACUCCCGAGUCUCUAGGACAUUCCUAAAAAAAUUUGAUUUUUUCCCAUAGGAAUGCAUGGGUUAGGUUUAUGGUUAGGGUUAGGGUUAGAGCUAGGGUUAGGGUUAGGGUUAGGGUUGGAGUUAGGGUUAGUGUUGGAGCUAGGGUUAGGGUUGGGCUUGGAGCUAGGAUUUUUCUGAGUGCAAUGAACCAACUCCCGAGUCUCUAGGACGUUCCUAAAAAAAUUUGAUUUUUUCCCAUAGGAAUGCAUGGGUUAGGGUUAGGGUUAGGGUUGGAGCUAGGGUUAGGGUUAGGGUUAGGGUUGGAGUUAGGGUUAGUGUUGGAGCUAGGGUUAGGGUUGGGCUUGGAGCUAGGGUUUUUCUGAGUGCACUGAACCAACUCCCGAGUCUCUAGGACAUUCCUAAAAAAAUUUGAUUUUUUCCCAUAGGAAUGCAUGGGUUAGGGUUAUGGUUAGGGUUAGGGUUGGAGCUAGGGUUAGGGUUAGGGUUAGGGUUGGAGUUAGGGUUAGUGUUGGAGCUAGGGUUAGGGUUGGGCUUGGAGCUAGGAUUUUUCUGAGUGCAAUGAACCAACUCCGGAGUCUCUAGGACGUUCCUAAAAAAAUUUGAUUUUUUCCCAUAGGAAUGCAUGGGUUAGGGUUAGGGUUAUGGUUGGAGCUAGGGUUAGGGUUAGGGUUAGGGUUGGAGUUAGGGUUAGUGUUGGAGCUAGGGUUAGGGUUGGGCUUGGAGCUAGGAUUUUUGUGAGUGCAAUGAACCAACUCCCGAGUCUCUAGAACGUUCCUAAAAAAAUUUGAUUUUUUUCCCAUAGGAAUGCAUGGGUUAGGGUUAGGGUUAGGGUUGGAGCUAGGGUUAGGGUUAGGGUUAGGGUUGGAGUUAGGGUUAGUGUUGGAGCUAGGGUUAGGGUUGGGCUUGGAGCAAGGAUUUUUCUGAGUGCACUGAACCAACUCCCGAGUCUCUAGGACAUUCCUAAAAAAAUUUGAUUUUUUCCCAUAGGAAUGCAUGGGUUAGGGUUAUGGUUAGGGUUAGGGUUGGAGCUAGGGUUAGGGUUAGGGUUAGGGUUGGAGUUAGGGUUAGUGUUGGAGCUAGGGUUAGGGUUGGGCUUGGAGCUAGGAUUUGUCUGAGUGCACUGAACCAACUCCCGAGUCUCUAGGACAUUCCUAAAAAAAUUUGAUUUUUUCCCAUAGGAAUGCAUGGGUUAGGGUUAUAGUUAGGGUUAGGGUUGGAGCUAGGGUUAGGGUUAUGGUUAGGGUUGGAGUUAGGGUUAGUGUUGGAGCUAGGGUUAGGGUUGGGCUUGGAGCUAGGAUUUUUCUGAGUGCAAUGAACCAACUCCGGAGUCUCUAGGACGUUCCUAAAAAAAUUUGAUUUUUU
rnacentral:lncRNA from 1 species